rnacentral:rRNA from 1 species
AUGCUAAGUGUUGGAGGGUUUCCGCCCUUCAGUGCUGCAGCUAACGCAUUAAGCAUUCCGCCUGGGGAGUACGGCCGCAAGGCUGAAACUCAAAGGAAUUGACGGGGGCCCGCACAAGCGGUGGAGCAUGUGGUUUAAUUCGAAGCUACGCGAAGAACCUUACCAGGUCUUGACAUACUAUGCAAAUCUAAGAGAUUAGACGUUCCCUUCGGGGACAUGGAUACAGGUGGUGCAUGGUUGUCGUCAGCUCGUGUCGUGAGAUGUUGGGUUAAGUCCCGCAACGAGCGCAACCCUUAUUAUCAGUUGCCAGCAUUAAGUUGGGCACUCUGGUGAGACUGCCGGUGACAAACCGGAGGAAGGUGGGGAUGACGUCAAAUCAUCAUGCCCCUUAUGACCUGGGCUACACACGUGCUACAAUGGAUGGUACAACGAGUUGCGAACUCGCGAGAGUAAGCUAAUCUCUUAAAGCCAUUCUCAGUUCGGAUUGUAGGCUGCAACUCGCCUACAUGAAGUCGGAAUCGCUAGUAAUCGCGGAUCAGCAUGCCGCGGUGAAUACGUUCCCGGGCCUUGUACACACCGCCCGUCACACCAUGAGAGUUUGUAACACCCA